CUCCAUCCAUCCUUCGAGCUACAGAGUUUGUGAACGCCUGUCGACAUCAUGUCUGAAGGUGGUGACUAGGGAGGUGAUUCAGUGGCCACUACAUCAAAGGAACACAAAGGUAGGAAAUUAACUCGAGUGGGCAAGAUUUUCAAAGCAUUUAGGC